rnacentral:rRNA from 1 species
AUUGAACGCUGGCGGCAGGCCUAACACAUGCAAGUCGAACGAGUGGCGGACGGGUGAGAAAUGUCUGGGCAACUGACUGAUGGAGGGGGAUCACUAAUGGAAACGGUAGCUAAUACCGUACACCAUCAGCUAGGCCAGACUGGGAUUAGCUCGUUGGUGGGGUAACGGCUCACCAAGGCAACGAUCCCGAGCUGGUCUGAGAGGAGGACCAGCCACACUGGAACUGAGACACGGUCCAGACUCCUACGGGAGGCAGCAGUGGGGAAUAUUGGACAAUGGGCGAAAUCCUGAUGCAGCCAUGCCGCGUGUAUGAAGAAGGCCUUCGGGUUGUAAAGGACUUUCAGCGGGGAGGCGUUACCCGCAGAAGAAGCACCGGCUAACUCCGUGCCAGCAGCCGCGGUAAUUG